rnacentral:ribozyme from 1 species
UGCCCAGCAACUCCUAUCCCUACCUCCACGCGGUACCGGCCGGAAACUAUGAGCAACCUUAGGGAAGAUUGGGUAACCAACCGAGGUGGGAACUUUGGUCGUAGGCUGACAGGGAAGG